GGAAAAUCCAAGGUCGUUCCCAAGUACUUCCAAGUCGGUACGGUCGUUGAGCCUGCAUCUGAGUUCUACUCAAGUAGGCU